GACGAAGGAUGCAAGCGUUAUCCGGAUUCAUUGGGCGUAAAGGGUGCGUAGGCGGCGCGGUAAGUCGGGUGUGAAAUCUCGGGGCUUAACUCCGAAACUGCAUUCGAUACUGCCGUGCUUGAGGACUGGAGAGGAGACUGGAAUUUACGGUGUAGCGGUGAAAUGCGUAGAUAUCGUAAGGAAGACCAGUGGCGAAGGCGGGUCUCUGGACAGUUCCUGACGCUGAGGCACGAAGGUCAGGGGAGCAAACGGGG
rnacentral:rRNA from 1 species